GACAGCUGAUGUCAGACCUGCACCUUCCUUGAACAUGUUGGUAACUUACUCUGUAUUUGUUCACGGUGGUCACCCCAGGGUCUCAGGACUCAAAACGAGUGCUCUAUGGAUUGAACAUAAAAUGUAGUAUAAACAAGUGUUAUGUUUUUAAAUGCCACUAAUAAUGUGUUUCUGUUUUCUUUCUCAUUAUGCUAACAAACACUCUUUUACCCCUCAUGUUAGGUGGAUCAACACUCCAACCAUCUGCAUUAGGGACUGAAUAAAGGAUGCCCUCUGUAGCUGGGAAUGUUAGAUCAGGCGGAUCAACAUUCCAUCCAUCUGCAUUAGGAUCUACCUUAGAGACACUCACUGGAGCUGUAAAUGGGAAGCAGGUCACUUACUUUGCAUUCGUCCUUGGUGGUCACCCAAGGGUCUCUAGAGUGAAAAUUACUCAAUCUAUGGAUUAAACAGAAAAUUUAGUUGUAUGAAGUGGUAUGUUGUCUUUAAAUGCCAUUAAAAAUGUGUUUCUGUUUUCUGUCUCAUAUUAAGAAAUACUCUUUAACCUGCCCACUGGAGCUGGGAAUGCAAUUUGGGACAUUCUUCCAGUUGUCGGCAACUUUGUGAAAAAGGCUGGAAACUUAAAUGCAGUUUAACUGAUUCUGCUUACCUGACUCAUGCAGAAUUCUGGCCUGGUGUUUGGUCUGUGCUGUCUUUGGCUCUUGCAUCUCCAUCAUCCUGACCCUCUUUAGCAGCCUGUCCAUGUAUUUAUUUGGAGGCCACCAUGAGCACCCAUCUGCAUAAUAUGACUUUGUUACUCAGAUGUCCAUGCGCUCCUACAAAUUCUACAUUUUUUGUAAAGCUGCAACAAGUUGAAACCCUAUAAUUAUUAACGUUUGAUUUUGAACUAUGUAAAUCAAAUACAUGAAUAAGUAACAAAAGCAGAAAUUUAUUAAGAUAUUACCUUUUUGUUGCUUGUUUACUGAUCUAUCAAUCCUUUUGCAUUUUCAUAAUUGUUCAUCAUAACUUGGUAUACAGUGGAUGUGUGGCUGCAGAUAACUUUCUGAAGUCAAUUUAAAAAGACAAAAGUUAAUAAAUGCUGAAUUGGUCAAAUAUACAUUGUUGUAUUUUCACCAUUUUGAUGUUUAGGCAUUUCAUAACUUGAGGGUUAAUUCACGUAUAGUGAUGUUUCAAAUCAAAGAUUAAUUUAUUAAUGACAGCUAAUCAUUUUAUAAAGAUUUUUAUUACAAUAUUUAUUUAUAUAAUAUCAAUUUAAUACAUUUAAUUCGUUACACCUACAUUACUGAGCGCAAGGGAGUGCAGCCAACAAAUACAUUCAGGUGUGUUCGACUUAACACCGAGAUGCGCAGACAGCACGUGGUAUGACAUCAAAGUACCGCGAGAGUUUGGGAAAGCCCCGGAAAAGGUUUGAUCUCGCGGUACUUGAUGUCACGAUCGGUUUGCGUGUAGAUCAGCAUGAAGUAGAACACAUCUGAAAGAUGUGUGGGCUGCCUGCACUCAACGUUGCGAUAAUUCAGUAGAGUGUAACCUCAAUCGGUUUUUGCAGCUUCUGGGUGUCGUGUCGAACGAUCGCAGAACGAUUUUUUGUUCUUUUCCAACUCGAUUUUUAACUCCCUAGACUAGUAGGAUGUUCCAACGGGUGAAGCAACAGUGCUGACGGCAGAGUUUCAGUGUCAAUUUUUCAUGCCAUGAUCACUGGGGCGGAAACCAUUAUGACGUUGCCUUGGACAUCAAACUAAACCAUCUCAUUCUUGCUUUUUUCUAACAUCGAAAUCUCAGAAGGCCAGGACUAAGAUGGACGCAGCCUCCACAUGCAACCUUGCAUUUGAGGAACACCCAUAGAACGGUCAACUUACCCCAUACUCUAACCUGAAUGCAGUGAUCAUAAAACUUUAUCUUUUACCUUAAUUGUUAGAUGGGUGUUGAUACCAAACUAUUUUUUCUCGUCUACCCAGGAGAAAGUCAUGGGUUCUGCUGCUGAGGUUGUCAUAAAGCAUGCUUUUUCCAUUUGUUGCAUUGGGCAAUAUUAUCAAAAGAUUCUGAAAGAAAUAAGAUAAUUUUCAAAGCACUAACAUGAAUAUGAAAGCAUUAAGUCAUUAAUGACCAUCUUUUAUUAUUGUUUAUUUAUAGUGUCUUUUAUUCUGCUUACCUGACUCAUGCAGAAUUCUGGCUUGAUGUUUGGUCCACCUGUUAGCUGGCUCUGGUGCUUGGUAGUCUUCUCAAACCUCUGAAUCAAGGCCACCAUGAGAGGCCUUCUGAAGACCAUCAUUACGCUUCAGAUCCAGUUGUCUUAACUAUGAGAUAGAACUGAACUGGAGUCUGUGAACUAAUGCUGUGUUCGAGACAACUGGAACAGCAAACAAAGUUGAGUAUCCGACCUCUCAACUUGUGACUGAUCGAUCAGCACCAACCUCAACGAGAUGCAUCAUUUGACAUUGCAGACAAGAUCCUUUCUCUUUUUAAUGCAGCACUUAAGGAUGAACCACCCUGAUCUACUAAGAUGCACAGAUUCAACUCUGGCCCAGCAUCAUCCCCACACCUCAUCUGCCAUCAGUUUAAUUUAAUGUCUGUCAAUUGCAAAUGCUAUUUAUUUCAGUUAUAUUACAACUUAAUGUUAACUUUAAUUGAGACUAGUAUUGUGUAAAGCUGGGGUUUCCAAACUUUUCAUUUCAAAACCUAUUAGACAAGUGUAAUCUAUUCUAGACCCACUAAAAUAUUUUUACAUAUACAUUUUUUUAAUGGGGUAAAACACAUUUGUUCUCUUUCAGUGGAGUCAUUUUAUUUUUAUAAUAUUUCAUAAUGUAAAGCAGUGGUUCUAAACGUUAUUCCUCGAGGCCCAUUGCUCUGCACAUUUUGUAUGUCUCUUUUAUCUGACAGACUCAGUUCAGUUCAUUGAGAUCUCUUCUAAUGAGCUGAUGAUUUGAAUCAGGUGUGUUAAAUAAGGGAGACAUACAAAAUGUGCAGGGCAGUGGGCCUCCAGGAAUAACAUUAAGAACCACUGAUGUAAAGUAAAUACAAGUUUAUUUGCAAUACCAAAUAUUUUAUGGUAUAUUCUUUCAAAACCAUUGUCAUUGUUAAUUAUUAAUUUGGCCAAACUGUUGUUGCAUCAUUAAGGUGUGCAACACACCUUAACCUACUGUGUGACCGACAAGUGGGUCCUCCUGACCCACAGUUUAAAAUCCCCUGGUGUACUGAAUGUAUUGUAAUUAAAGUCGCAUCUAAGUCUUG